rnacentral:rRNA from 1 species
GACGAACGCUGGCGGCGCGCCUAACACAUGCAAGUCGAACGAGCGAGAGAGAGCUUGCUUUCUCGAGCGAGUGGCGAACGGGUGAGUAACGCGUGAGGAACCUGCCUCAAAGAGGGGGACAACAGUUGGAAACGACUGCUAAUACCGCAUAAGCCCACGGCUCGGCAUCGAGCAGAGGGAAAAGGAGCAAUCCGCUUUGAGAUGGCCUCGCGUCCGAUUAGCUAGUUGGUGAGGUAACGGCCCACCAAGGCAACGAUCGGUAGCCGGACUGAGAGGUUGAACGGCCACAUUGGGACUGAGACACGGCCCAGACUCCUACGGGAGGCAGCAGUGGGGAAUAUUGCACAAUGGGGGAAACCCUGAUGCAGCGACGCCGCGUGGAGGAAGAAGGUCUUCGGAUUGUAAACUCCUGUUGUUGGGGAAGAUAAUGACGGUACCCAACAAGGAAGUGACGGCUAACUACGUGCCAGCAGCCGCGGUAAAACGUAGGUCACAAGCGUUGUCCGGAAUUACUGGGUGUAAAGGGAGCGCAGGCGGGAAGACAAGUUGGAAGUGAAAUCUAUGGGCUCAACCCAUAAACUGCUUUCAAAACUGUUUUUCUUGAGUAGUGCAGAGGUAGGCGGAAUUCCCGGUGUAGCGGUGGAAUGCGUAGAUAUCGGGAGGAACACCAGUGGCGGAGGCGGCCUACUGGGCACCAACUGACGCUGAGGCUCGAAAGUGUGGGUAGCAAACAGGAUUAGAUACCCUGGUAGUCCACACCGUAAACGAUGAUUACUAGGUGUUGGAGGAUUGACCCCUUCAGUGCCGCAGUUAACACAAUAAGUAAUCCACCUGGGGAGUACGACCGCAAGGUUGAAACUCAAAGGAAUUGACGGGGGCCCGCACAAGCAGUGGAGUAUGUGGUUUAAUUCGACGCAACGCGAAGAACCUUACCAAGUCUUGACAUCCCUUGACAGGCAUAGAAAUAUGUUUUCUCUUCGGAGCAAGGAGACAGGUGGUGCAUGGUUGUCGUCAGCUCGUGUCGUGAGAUGUUGGGUUAAGUCCCGCAACGAGCGCAACCCUUAUGGUCAGUUACUACGCAAGAGGACUCUGGCCAGACUGCCGUUGACAAAACGGAGGAAGGUGGGGAUGACGUCAAAUCAUCAUGCCCUUUAUGACUUGGGCUACACACGUACUACAAUGGCGUUAAACAAAGAGAAGCAAGACCGCGAGGUGAAGCAAAACUCAGAAACAACGUCCCAGUUCGGACUGCAGGCUGCAACUCGCCUGCACGAAGUCGGAAUUGCUAGUAAUCGUGGAUCAGCAUGCCACGGUGAAUACGUUCCCGGGCCU